rnacentral:rRNA from 1 species
UGGGGAAUAUUGGGCAAUGGGGGAAACCCUGACCCAGCAACGCCGCGUGAGGGAAGAAGGUUUUCGGAUUGUAAACCUCUGUCCUAAGGGAAGAAGGAAGUGACGGUACCUUAGGAGGAAGCCCCGGCUAACUACGUGCCAGCAGCCGCGGUAAUACGUAGGGGGCGAGCGUUGUCCGGAAUUAUUGGGCGUAAAGGGGUGCGUAGGCGGCGAAGCAAGUCAGAUGUGAAAUACCACGGCUUAACUGUGGGGGUGCAUUUGAAACUGUUUUGCUAGAGUGCAGGAGAGGGAAGCGGAAUUCCUAGUGUAGCGGUGAAAUGCAUAGAUAUUAGGAGGAACACCAGUGGCGAAGGCGGCUUUCUGGACUGUAACUGACGCUGAGGCACGAAAGCGUGGGGAGCAAACAGGAUUAGAUACCC